rnacentral:rRNA from 1 species
UACGGAAGGCAGCAGUGGGGAAUAUUGCACAAUGGGCGCAAGCCUGAUGCAGCCAUGCCGCGUGUAUGAAGAAGGCCUUCGGGUUGUAAAGUACUUUUCAGCGGGGAGGAAGGCGGUGGAGUUAAUAGCUUCACCGAUUGACGUUACCCGCAGAAGAAGCACCGGCUAACUCCGUGCCAGCAGCCGCGGUAAUACGGAGGGUGCAAGCGUUAAUCGGAAUUACUGGGCGUAAAGCGCACGCAGGCGGUCUGUCAAGUCGGAUGUGAAAUCCCCGGGCUUAACCUGGGAACUGCAUUCGAAACUGGCAGGCUAGAGUCUUGUAGAGGGGGUAGAAUUCCAGGUGUAGCGGUGAAAUGCGUAGAGAUCUGGAGGAAUACCGGUGGCGAAGGCGGCCCCUGGGACAAAGCUGACGCUCAGGGU